rnacentral:rRNA from 1 species
AACGAACGCUGGCGGCAUGCCUAACACAUUCACGUCGAACGAAACCUUCGGAUCUCCUAGCGCACGGGUGCGUAUCGCGUGCGAAUCUGCCCUUAUCUUCGGAAUCACUCCCCUAAACGGGUGCUAAUACCGGUUAAUGUCUUCAGCCCAAAUAUUUAUCGCCUUUGGAUGGGCCCGCGUUGGAUUAGCUAGUUUGUAGGGUAAAAGCCUACCAAGGCGACGAUCCAUAGCUGGUCUGAGAGGAUGAUCAGCCACACUGGGACUGAGACACGGCCCAGACGACGACGGGAGGAAGUAGAGGGGAAUAUUGGACAAGGCGGGAAAGACAGAACAAGUAAUGGCGGGUGAGAGAUAAAGGAAUUAGGGUUGUAAAGAUGUGUUAGGGGGUAUGAGAAAGACAGUACAGAGAGAACAUGACACCGAUAACUUCAGG